GGAUUAGAUACCCUGGUAGUCCACGCCGUAAACGAUGUCUACUUGGAGGUUGUGGCCUUGAGCCGUGGCUUUCGGAGCUAACGCGUUAAGUAGACCGCCUGGGGAGUACGGUCGCAAGAUUAAAACUCAAAUGAAUUGACGGGGGCCCGCACAAGCGGUGGAGCAUGUGGUUUAAUUCGACGCAACGCGAAGAACCUUACCUGGCCUUGACAUGCAGCGAACUUUCCAGAGAUGGAUUGGUGCCUUCGGGAACGCUGACACAGGUGCUGCAUGGCCGUCGUCAGCUCGUGUCG
rnacentral:rRNA from 1 species